CCAGUCGGCUGGACGGCCGCUGCUUUCGAGCAGAGGAAAGUCCGGGCUCCACGGAUGAACGGUGCCGGAUAACGUCCGGCGGGGGCGACCCCAGGGAAAGCGCCACAGAAAGCAAACCGCCCCGGCGGCCUCACAUUGCGCGGGGCAUCGCGCCGAGGGUCAGGGUGAAAGGGUGCGGUAAGAGCGCACCGCGUCGGCGGUAACGUCGGCGGCACGGCAAGCCCCACCGGGAGCAAAACCGAAUAGGGGCGACAGGGCCAGGCGCAAGCCUGUCCCGGGCUCAUCCGAGCCGUCGCCCGGGUUGGUUGCUUGAGGCGGCUGGUAACAGCUGUCCCAGAGGAAUGGUCGUCACGCGGCGCGCGUCGUGCUCCGCACGAUCGCGCCGCCCUACAGAACCCGGCUUACAGGCCGACUGGCACU
rnacentral:RNase_P_RNA from 1 species